GAGUUUGUUUUUCUCAAAAGGAGGAAAAAUCAUGGAACAUGGGAAAACCUAUAAAGCUGAAAUUCCUCACUUUUGAACAUGCUUCUAAUAUCCUGUCCUUCUGAUUAUCCUUAAGAUCUUUUCUGAAAUAAGAAAGCAUUUGCCAUGGCUUUUCACUGCUGGAUUGGCAUCCCUGUCUUCCUCCUGUUUGCCCUGGGCCUGCUGGGCAACAGCACCAUCAUCAUCAC